rnacentral:lncRNA from 1 species
UUAGCAUAAGAUGCAGAGAAUAUGCACAACUACAAUUAUUCACUUAACUUUCACUCUAAUCUAAGUUUAGCUUCUUUUUUUUUUGAACUAAAAUAUAGACAUUGUUUUUUUGAAUAAAGCUUCAUAAUGACAAUUCCAUGCACGUUUUCAUGCAAAAAAGGGAAGCUUACAUAAUUAUCUUUCAACUUUUGGAAAUUCAUGUCAAAAGGUGAGUUUCAUUUUGAACUAUACUAGAUUCACAAUUUUUCUGUCUUUUAUUUCAGGCCUGAAAGCAUGUUCUUUUCCUCUUUAAUUAUAUUGCGUUCGGAGUCAAAAGGACCACUUUUUUCUUUACCCACCAAAUAGAUUUGGACAACUUUUUCACAAUUUAAACAUCGAUCACAGCAUAGUUUCUCUAUUUUAAUUUAUAUGUCCCUUGGUACGGUGUUUGAUGACUUUUUUUUACCCACCAAAUCGAUUUGCACAACUUUUUUCACAAUUUGAACGUCGAUCGCAACAUAAUUUCUCUAUUUUAGUUUAUAUGUCCCUUGAUACGGUGUUUGAUGACUACUUUCUCUGUUUUAAUUUAUGUGUCCCUUGAUACGUUGUUUGAUGACUAGAUACAAAGUUACAAUAGUUUAUUUUAGAAUAUGUGUAGUGUUGGAUAAUUACUUGGCUAUUCUUGAUGGCGUGAGGUUUUUCUAUUUUUUAAAAAAUGUGUGAAUUUGGACUAUAAAUUAAAUAAUAUCAUACCAUGUUUAGAGCAUUUUUUAAUUUGAUCAUUUAAAGAUUGAUAUAGAGAAAAUUAUUACUCUUAAUUAUUGAGUGUUUAAAUUUAAUUAAAUUCAAAGAAUUUUUAGUAAUCACAUACUAUAUGCAUUCAUAUUAACACAUUUUUAAUUUUAGAAAAAAUUCAAAAGUACGUAGCAUUCACACUAGGAAAGUUCGUACAAGUAAAAUUAUGUAAAGUAUUUACAAGUAUUUUUUUUUUAAUGUAAAAGGUACUUGAGCACAAUUGAUAAUUUAAUUUCAAAAAAAAUGUUGCAAUAGAAUUUAAGACUAGAUUCCCUUCACUUAGCAUUAAUUUAACUAAUAAAUAAAAUUUAAGUAAGUGCGGCGUUCCACAUAUUUAAUACUAUGCUUCUAUAGUCUAAGUGAAAGGAAUUAGGCAACAUUAUUUAAUUAGUCCUCACUAAUUACUUGUGUGGGCCCUACUUCUUAAUUAAUUACCUACCCUUGCCAUGCAAAAGAUGCAAUUAAUUAAUUAAUUAGUACUAGCCAACUUAGUUAAGCUAGCUAGCUACACAUAAUCAAAAUUCUACUCGCUAUGUAUAGCUCCUUAAUUAGGCAUCAUUAUGUAUAUAUAUGCUCGGAUUCUCUAAUAAUGUUAUCGUAGCUUCAAGAGUAUGAACAACAUAUAUAGUAUAUAUGUAGCUACGUACCAUUUUAGUAAAAUGAACAAAACGCUACGAGAAACUAAUAGGGGGUAAUGCUAAAUGCAGAAAUUUAAAGGUCUAUAAUAUCCUUUUUUAUUUUAAAAUUAAUUGAUUAUGUCCCCAUUUUUAAUCAAAAGAUAUUAAAUUUAAAAAGGGUAAAAAUGUCCAAAAAGAUAAAAUAAAUAGUGUGUGAAAUAUGUUAUUUUACCAUUCUGGCCAAAUUCUGACUAAAUUUUCUAGCCAAAAUGAUUUUUCCUUACCAAUAAUCCUUUCGUAAUAAUCCCAGUAUAAUUUGUUUUCGAACUAAGCAAUCCCUAGCUAGAGGCGAAACAAGGAUUAGGAGUUUGAGAGUUCUAAAUUUUAUUAAUAAUCGUCAAUCAACUUUGUUAAGAAUUCACAAUUAAUAUACAUAAAUAUUUAAUUAAUUUUCUAGUACAAAUUAGGAAUUCGUCCGAACCCAUAAAAACCCCGCCUAGCUCCGCCUCUGUCCCUAGCUAUACACAUAUUUCAUAAAUCGGGAGGAGUAAAGAUCCAAUUGAAGACUAACCUUAAUCCUUAAAACACAUAAAAUCACACACCAUUCAUAUUUUCCCAUUACUUCACCACCAUAUACAUAUAUAGUUCAUAAUGAAUAAUAAACUGAAAGAUAAAAUUAAGCCCCACAAUAUAAUAAAACAACAAAAUACGUAAAAUACAUCUCUAUCCCUUGUAAAAGCUUAUACAAUUAGCUCAUAGAUUGAGACAAAACAUAUAUAUUUAUUUCCUCAUCAUCACAUGCAAGUGUGAUUCUUUUUCAGUGACAAUAACGAGACUCGAAUUCAGGACCUAGCUCUGAUACCAUCUGUCAUUCAUAUUGAGAGUUACUUUCCAUGCUUAUACUCAUCCCAAUUACUUUCCUAUUUAGUUCCACCACUUGAAGUAGAAUUUCCAAAAUGUGAUCCACGAUAUUUCACAAAAUCUUCUUCUUCUUCUUCGUGCGUAGUUAUAACUUGUUGCUGCUCCUCAUGAUAAACUGGAACUUCCAUUGAUGAUUGUGAAAUAUCAAAAGAGUGAUAAAAAGUAUUUGGUGAAACAUCGAAAUUUAGAUCGAUAUUAUUGUCAGUACGAAGUAAUAAAUCAGCAUAGUGAUGAACAUUAGGGUAAUUUUGUUCAGAUGUGUUGUUUGAUGACGUGGCAGGUUGAUCAUAGCAUUGGAAAAACUGUCCUUGAACUCUUUCAGGGAAAUUGAGUUUAGCUUUGUUUCCUUUGAAUCUUAGAGCAGCUUCAUCAUAAGCAAGUGCUGCACCUUCCGCUGUUUCAAAAGUACCUAACCAA